rnacentral:rRNA from 1 species
UUGACCCGUCUUGAAGCACGGACCAAGGAGUCUAACAUGUGCGCAAGUCAUUGGGUACCACUACACCCAAGGGCGUAUUGAACGAAAAGGCCGGCCUCCGCGCCGGCUGAGGGAAGAUGGGGGCUCGCUCGCGGGCCCCCCGCAUUCCCGGGGCGUCUCGUCCUACGUCCGCUCGUCGGUCGAAGGUGAGGCGCACCAAGAGCGCACACGUUGGGACCCGAAAGAUGGUGAACUAUGCCUGGCCAGGACGAAGUCAGGGGAAACCCUGAUGGAGGUCCGUAGCGAUUCUGACGUGCAAAUCGAUCGUCGGAGCUGGGUAUAGGGGCGAAAGACUAAUCGAACCAUCUAGUAGCUGGUUCCCUCCGAAGUUUCCCUCAGGAUAGCUGGCGCUCAUGGAACCGAGUCCCAUCCGGUAAAGCGAAUGAUUAGAGGCCUUGGGGUCGAAACGACCUCAACCUAUUCUCAAACUUUAAAUGGGUGGGAACCGCGGCUUGUUCGAACGUAAAGCCGCGGACCACGGAUCGGAGGGCCCAGUGGGCCACUUUUGGUAAGCAGAACUGGCGCUGUGGA